GUGCGCAUGCGUCGUCGGGCCUAGGCCCCAAGCCUGCGUGUGCACUUGCGAGGGUACUCCGGGAGGGAGCACUUGGCCUAGGGCAUCCGAGCCGUCGCGGCCUAGCUAGAGAGGCUGAGUCUUCCAGUCGACGCUGGGCUCACACGCCCCAGACUGGUGGUCUGUGUCCCCCACGGGAAGGCGCCACGCUGGAUCGUGCCAGCCCGUGUGGGCAGGGGAAGACGCAGAGCCCACGCUAGCUCUGGAGAUGCCGCCGAGGGCUUGGGAGAAGGUCCCUGGCCAGCCCUGCGAAUCCAGGAGCCGCCACUAGGCAGGGAAUAGUCAUCCGAGGAAUGUGAUGGGCUCUGAGGUGGCCCCCUCUGAGGCUUUUCGGGAGGCGGCCCAAGUCAGAGCCCGCCACACCCCCGGGUCCCCGGGAACGGGAGCUGGUGCUGGGGUCUUCUGAGCACGUCUGGUGCCCAGAUGCACCGUGCAGAUGAAAACACGCUUGCCCCUUCACAGGGGCCUGGACCUCCGGCAUUUUAGCCCCGAAGCCACACUUCAGGACAGGGCUGCGAACCUGCACGGGGCUUAGCGCCCCCUAAGUCGGCUCAGACUGGACAGCCCUCCCACGGGUUGGGGUUUUGUCCAGUUUUCCUCGUUCAAACUUUGCUCUUCUCAUCGCCACCAUGGAUGCCGAAACCCCUUCGGGCACAGUGUCUAUACCUCCGCCUUGAGACUCUCUCUACGAGCAUGCGUGUUCCUUAUGGUGGGACCCUUUGGAUCUGGGUCAUUACCCACUUUCUGGCCUUUGUCCCCCCCCCCCCACACACACACAGACAUCCUCUUUCCUGGGUUUUCCAAGAAAUAUCUUCCUGAGCCCUUGCUGAGGAAUAGCUGAAUUUCCUUUCUUGUUUGUGUUUUUCUUUUCCGUUCUUGUUUUUGUUUCUUCUAGCGAGGAUACAUCCUUAUUGGUUGGAGAGUUGAGUUGAGCAAGUUUUUGGUUUCUUCAGCUCCUAGGCCCGGUCCCGUGCUGGACAAUGUCCCUGAAGGACCCUGCGAUCACCGCACAGCCAAGUUCACCACUCUAGUUGAAAUCCGAAUCUUCAGCAUACCCACGGGCUCCCAGGACAUCGUGUGCCCAAGGUGCCUCAGCCCCCGCGCCUGAGGGGGAGAAGUGCCCUUGCCUCGUGGUCCUGGAGGAUGGCUCAGACACCCACCGCAGGCGCCGUGAGAGCAGAGAGCCGCUGGUUCGUCACCAGAGGUCGGCAACGAGGACAGAUCGUGAUCUUGUGACCCAAGAGAGAGUCUACGUGUGAAUGAGCAUGAGUCGGGGCAGGUGCAAAUAGAGUGGGAGAGGCAGCACAUUUCAAGCAGACUCCACACUGAGUACGAGCCCCCGGUCAGUCUCCCUGCUCAUCAGGGAGCCUGCUUCUCCUCCCUCUAGUGCUCCCCCUGCUUGUGCUAGCUUGCUCUCUCUCACUGUCACAUAAAUUAAUAAAAUCUUUUUAAAAAAAUAUUAGAACCUAAGCUUUAUUGUGUCCAUACUGAUAAAAUAUGGGAGAACUCGAGUCAUUUGCAUAUAGAAUUCUAGCCUUAGGAGGGGAGGAGGAAGUCAGAGGUAGCCCCAAGUUAACUGUCACUGCUGAUGGUUACAAGUCGUAAUAAAACGGCACGGAUUUUGUGUUCUC